UUAAAAUAACACUAAAGAUUAUAGGCUUCAGUAUAUAAAGUAUUUACCAAAAACUCAAUAUUUUCGAAGGGCUUAAAACAUAGAUUUUUAGAAAUUUUUUUAAAAAUAUGACUAUAUUGUUUUAAUGCAUAGUUGCAUCCUGCACUAACAUAUGAUGAUGUUCAACGAGGUUUGGAGCCUUGGUUGUCUCCUUUUUUCAAGAAAAUAGUUAUUUUAUUGUAGUUAUUUCGUCGAUUUAGGGAGUAUUAUGAAGUUUUACUAAAUUAAUUGAUAAACAAAUUAUAACGAUUCACAUAUACCAUGUAAAAGAGUUUAAAGUACAUUUAUACAAAUGUAGAAUGUGGUUAGAAAUAUUAAAACAACUCUAAAGAUUAUAGGCUUCAGUAUAUAAAGCAUUCACCAAAAACUCAAUAUUUUCGAAGGGGUUAACACAUGGAUAUUGAGAAAUUU